UUUCACUUUCACGCUGCCUUUCUUCUCCUUUGUUUCUAAAUCGCCAAAUCAAUCGUGAAAACUCUCAUCCAACUGGACUGCGGCUUCUCUCUUUUGCUAUAUUUGGGAGGUUAGGGUUCCGCGACUCAUCUAGAAGCGAUUGAUGCUGAAAUUGCGGCCAUUCUCGAUGAGGCUCGAACAUCAUACGCCACCCACAACCGAAAGCUCAUGUCACUCCUCCGAGCCAAAUCCUCUUCUUCGGUCUUCUUUUCCGCCUUCUCCAGAACCCUAACUCCUCUCAUUGAUUUCCAGAGGCGCCUUGCCUCUGUUGAACGCGUCGUCUCCUUCGUCUAUGCCCUUGCUGCCUCCGCCUCCGACGAGUUCCUCGAUUGCUUCCUCAAGUUCCUCCUAGCUGCUACUACGACAUCCAACAAAACAGCCAGAUUCCGAGCGUGCCAGAUCGUCUUCGAGAUAAUAUUGCGGCUUCCAGAUGACUACGCAGAAGUGAGCAAUGAGAUAUGGGAUGAGGUGAUUGAGUGGAUGAUGGUGAGGGUACGAGACAAGAUCCCUGUGGUACUUUUGUAGUUAGAGCGCUUUCACGUUUUGUGAACGACUCUGUGAACAGUGACAUCCUUGAUUUGUACCUCGAGGUGCUCCCUUUGGAACAUAAUGCAGUGGCAUUAAUUCUCUUCAGCUCUUUAACUGAAACAAUUGGGAAUGCUUUUCAGCCGUAUUUUGCAGAUCUGCAACUCAAGUGCUUGCAGGACGAGACUAGCAACCGUGUUAGAGUUGCCAUCCUCAAUGGGAUCAUUCUUGGAAUUCACUCAUGAUGGGGAUGAAGUGUUGCAUUUAGAUUGAUUAACCUUACACAGAGUGGAUACAUUGAGCAUCACGAGAUAUUUGAUGACAGAUCUCCAAUGAAGCAACAUGUUAUAAAGGAUGUUUGGAAGCACUGGGUUUCAUUUUUUUUAAUCAUUUAUAAAUGAUUAAAUGUUUCAAUAUUACAUUUUGAGUUUAGGAAUUAUUUUAUGUAUAACUAUGUUAAGUAACUUUGUUAGGUAAAUAUAUUUAGGACUUUGUUAGGUAAAUAAUACAUUUUGAUGUGUUAAUAGAAACAACAUUGAUUAUUUUACUCGUUA